ensembl:lncRNA CCDC26 CCDC26 long non-coding RNA
ACAGUGCUACUGGCCCAUAAUCAGGCAACUGCAGAGUCUUAGGGGGUUAUCUAAUGUAGUCUUGGGGUGGCUGGAUAGACUUCCCAAAGAAGGUGAUGCCGAAGCUGAGGUCGGAAAUUACGAAGAUCAGCUAUGGCGUCUCAGGGUCUUGACCACCUCAAGCCAGGUGAGACACCUUACAGGAUGUCUCCUAAGCUGAUCAGUCUAUGAACAUUUAGUGACCUACAGAAUCUCCCUGUGACAUCUGUUCACUGGGCAACAGCAGCUCACAGAUUGUGCCUGCAGCCUGGCCUGUUGCCCACAGCGGUCUACCUGCCACACUGGGAAAGAUCGAGCAGAGACAGAGAAGAAAAGGAGGCUCCAUUUUUCAGGCUGCUCUCCCGCAGGCUCAUGUUUUGUGUUCAUGCCAGGCAGAGAACACAAAAUGUUCCAAUAAAUAAGUAUCAAAGCAUCUACUUGUUUCCAAAGUUAUUUGGGUCAGCAUUUUCCUCCACCCACCACUUAAAACUGAUUUGUUUCAUACAUUUGAAAUGUAUGAAAAGCCAGAAAUCCAGGACCCACCCUGGCCUGCUCCCUUUUUCUCACCUACUGUGUUAAGGAUAAGUCAAUUGAGCUUCACUUCUCUAAUUGAAAUCACCGUGCUGAUGGAGUCUGUCUGUGGAAAUGAAAGGUGGCUACCAUAAUCUGUUGGGAGUUGAAUUAAUCCUCUGGGAGUGAGGCUGACCUAAUUACUCAGAAAUACUGGGCUUGCUUUCAUUCUGUGGAAUACAGCCAUGAGAAAGAGGCCAGCAUGCCAUUUCCUAAUCUUUUCUUGAAUUGCCUGAAACUCACCUAACAUGAAACUGAGAAGCCUUUUCAUUUGAAAGUGGUAUUUCUUAUGUUUUUUAUCUUUUUGCUUGAAAGUAUUCUUAAACUAAAGAAAGGAGAAACAGAAAAGGUGAAGAAGCCAAGAGGCUGGAGUUUCCUUUUGAAUGGAUAUUCAUCCAUGAAGCUGUUGAUUCUGUUUUUCUGUUCCUCCAGAUGUCUACACUUUUACCUCUGCUUGCCUGAUACAACCACCACCAGUCACCUCACAGAAUAACUCACUCCUUAAGAAUCUGAUCAGGAAUCAGCCUUCCCUGAUCACAAACACUGAGUUUAGAAGUCCCUCCACAGUGUCCCCCGUAACCCUGUGCUACCUCACUGCCUCAUAGUUUAGUGCCGUUUGUGUACAUGCCUAUCUUCGUCCAUGGAUCCAGAACAACUUGUAAAAAUGACUGUACUUAUCACCUUCAGUAUUCAAUGACUAAACUAUAAUUUUAACAUAUCUGGCAGAAUGAAUCACUUGGGGAUUUCUGCCAACACUACCAAUAUAUUACUCCUAAUUUGUAAUUAUUACUUAGCAUGGAUUAUAGUACCGGCUGUUGGAGAGCCAAUGUGGCAGACCCUAAGUGGAAUAAAAUGUCAGUAGCAGUCUAGGAGCAUAUAUUUAUUGGAAUAGAUCAUUCAUUCAUUUGUUCAUUAACUAAUUUGUUCAUUAAAUAAACAUUUAUUAAGCA